UUAAAUCCGAUCAACCAACCAACCGGAGUAACGCAGUACGUUCAGAAGAAAAUCAUUCUGGGGUCUACUCCAGAACACACAGGGUGCCAAAUGGCUCACCUGUAUGGAGCAGGCCUCUCUUCGAGUCAGCACUUCAGGUGCACCGCUGCCCCGAGGCCAGCCCUGGGGCCCUGGGGCCCUGAGGCUCAUCAGUAAGUUAACGCAGAGAGUUUGCAAAGAUUGAUUAUGCAGUAACAUUUAACAGCUGUGGUAAUGGCAGCACUUGCUUGAGAGUUACCACCGAGGGUGGCUUCUAGAUGCAAGGACGGGAUACUGAGUCAGUCUCUCCUGGAACAGUGACACGCUGGAAGUAGGCAUGGCUGCAGCUCUGCUACUGACUUUAAACAAAGCAUUCUGAAGCUUUAAUUAGCGCCUCAGCUAAUAACCACCCAAUCAUUGGGGGGCAAUUACGUACGUGCAAAUUAUAGGCCAGGUUAUAGUGUUUUACUGGUCUAAUGAAGAUGAACGCUUGGAGGAAAAGAUGCUCCUGAACUAAAAACACAGGGACAUGUGUGUGGGACUUCACAGACGGAACAGAAUCAGCCUGCCGAUAAUCUGGUCUGGAGGAAAACCGGCGUGGGUAAAUACCUCUGUGUGUGACAGGAGUAAUAACCAGAUUAUGGAGUUGUGGCGGUGCAUUGAGACAGAGACAAAAGGAUGCACAUGUACGGAGGCUGAGCCAUCGGCAGACAAAGUGAGGGAGCGGCUGCCAGAGUGUCACACGUAACGCCACCAACAACCUUAUUUUGUCGAUGAAAACCAACUCCAUUCCUCAAAGCUGCUUCUCAUGCGAGUCUUUAUCCAGAACCACGACUGCCGUCUGGGUGCCGAGCAGAACCAAGCAGAUAGAGCCUGGCAGACACGGUGACAUCAUCUCUUUCUAUACCUUGCCUCCCCUGAACACGACCCCCCCUACUCCCUCCACCCUACCUAUGAUGGCGGGCCGGUCAGCGUGCACGCUCCCGGCUGCCUGAGGUAUACACAAUGAGGCGGAAUUAAAAAAAUAAUAGAAGGCAAAAAUAUGCAGAUGUGGCUCAAUCAAACAGGUAGCUCGGGGGAAAUGACAAGCAUCCUCUCCUCUUCUCUCAGCCUCCUGUCUCCUAGCAACUGGGCUCCAGCUGUGAUUGUCAUAAGCCAAUAAAUAGCCUACCUGGCGCCCCAUUGUGUGCAGGAGGUACAAGAGGCAGGGUAGGGGAGGGUGAGCGAGGCAGAUGCACUGGUGCACACAUGCAGCCCCUUUGUGCACAGAGUGAAAUGAAAGCCCACAGGUAGGAGCCCACGAGAGGAGGGAGGGAAGGGGUGUGUGAUGUGGGAGGGGGCAGAUUGGUUAGCAGGGGCCUCUCUGUGUCUCUGGUCAAUCACUGUCAUUCCCGUCACGUCCUCACCGCCUCACUAUACCACUUGCCCGUUUGGGGAAAACGGCACGCGGAUGCCUUCGCUCACGUGCACAAAGGUCAUUUAGGCCGGUGCCGCGCGCCGACAUAUAAAUCCAGUUUAGCUCACACGCACGCAUGCACGCACGCAGCCAUGUCGACCGCAAAUUGAGACACCCCGCGAGACAUUUGUUAGAAAAAAAAAAGAAUGAAGUUUAACAUCCUUGCUCAGGGUGGCCCGCGCGUGCGCGCGCAGAGUCACGCGCCGAAGGUGAUCCAUCGCUGCGACGCCUACAUGGGAAUGCUGUGAAAUCAUGCAAAAUGCCCCCCAAUACCCUCCUCAUCCUCCAAACCGACUCUCCACCCCCUUCUAGGACGAACAGCCUUACCGGUGUGGAGACUGAACGCCAAACUCAGGAGCAGCAGCCUCUGCAUGGUUCAGCCGACCAAUAAGUCCGUUAUUGGCCUCCGUGAGGACAGCAUCAAAAAGCGGGAGUUUUCGGACUUCUAACAGUGACUCCGGAGCGAACUAGAGCCUCCAGCGGCGCUCCUCCACAUCUGUCCCCUCCAGACUCGGGUCGGACUGGUUUGCGUUUACACCAUUGUUCGCCCCUGUUUUGCUCCUCUUUCUUUCCUUGUUUCUUUUCACCUCU